rnacentral:misc_RNA from 1 species
GAUGAAAGAACGUAGUGAAAUGCGAUACGUAGUGUGAAUUGCAGAAUUCAGUGAAUCAUCGAAUCUUUGAACGCACAUUGCACCUCUCGGUAUUCCGGGAGGUAUGCCUGUUCGAGCGUCAUUUGUACCCUCAAGCUCUGCUUGGUGUUGGGUGUUUGUUCCGCCUCUGUGUGUGAACUCGCCUCAAAACAAUUGGCAGCCGGCGUACUUGUUUCGGAGCGCAGCACAUUUUGCGAUCCAGAUCAACGUACAGCGGCAUCCAAGAAGCCUUAUUUAACGCUCUUGACCUCGGAUCAGGUAGGGAUACCCGCUGAACUUAAGCAUAUCAAUAAGCGGAGGA